UACGUAGGAUGCAAGCGUUGUCCGGAAUUAUUGGGCGUAAAGAGCGCGCAGGCGGUAUGACAAGUCAGAUGUGAAAGAGGCCGGCUUAACCGGCAAGGGUCAUUUGAAACUGUCAGACUAGAGUGCAGCAGAGGAUAGUGGAAUUCCCGGUGUAGUGGUGAAAUGCGUAGAUAUCGGGAGGAACACCAGUGGCGAAGGCGGCCAUCUGGGACAACACUGACGCUGAGGCACGAAAGCGUGGGGAGCAAACAGG
rnacentral:rRNA from 1 species